UUCUGCGAAUUGUUUUGGCAAUUGUUUAUUCCUCUAAAAAAUAGUAGGUAUAGCACUGAAUAUCUCGAGGGAGUAUGAAAAUAUUUAUCUCAGAUAUUUAAUCUCAAAAUAACUAUUUCUUAAAAUAAAUAAUCAGACUAUGUGCGAUAAGGUAGAUAGUCGAAAGGGAAACAGCCCAGAACAGUAAUUAAAGCUCCCCAAUUAAUAUUAAGUGAA
rnacentral:rRNA from 1 species